GCGUUUGUGGUUUAGUGGUAAAAUCCAUCGUUGCCAUUUCAUACAGUUUCGAUGGGCCCCGGGUUCGAUUCCCGGCGAACGCA